AAUUCACUACAAAAUGAAUUAUAUUUACAGAACAGAAAAUACUUGUAACUUGAUAGCUUCGACAUGGGGUGGUAAAACUUUUGUAUUUCUCAAUGAAUAAUCUUCUGUUGUUUUAUUGUUUGAGUUUACACAGUCCUUCAAUGUAUCUGUCCAACAAGUAUCUAAAAGUGCAACAAAGACAGAUGGAAGAAUAUUCAAUACACUUCAAAUAUUAAUAAUCUUAUAUAAAGUCUACCUGAAAAUUUGACGUUCUGCGGAGGAGCAAAUAGUCUUGAAUUGUGUUGGUUAUUGAUAUCGAACAAGUAAAUUUGUUCACCACCCAUAUUAACGAGUAAUUCAUUUCCAUCAGCACUAAAUGUCAAGCAAUGCUACAGGAUGUUUCACAUCAAGGUUAGGGACGAAGAGUGAUCGUACAAACGAACCAGCAAUAAAGUACUGUGCAGAUUCCAGUGGGAUAUUGUUUUCUGGAUCGCCUUCGCCAGCACGUUGGCCAUUGACGUUUACUCCGUCCCAAUUGCUAUUAACUCAGGUCGUCUUGGAUUUAUUGAGAUGCAUUUUGCCUCUGCAUAGCGACCCAAAUGAUUUGAAAGAUUAACAAGGACGGAUUUGCGAUCAUUAGCAUUGCAAUUGUGCGGCACCCGAAUGUCGUAUUGCAAUAUCAACCCGUCCUCAGCUGCACUCCAGAAGAGAAACGAAAAAAUGUUUCCAUUGUGACCAGCAUGUAAAACCAAUUUUUUCUGAUACCGAAAAGCAUCCCAUAAUAUCACAUGUACAUCAUCGGAUGCAGAAGCCAAGAUUCUAAAAAUAAAUAAAUAUUGUUUACUUAUCAAGUAAAAAACUUUGCCAAAGAGUAAAUUGUAUUUGGUUUUUAGUAAAAAUGAAGUAUUAUCUUUUUUUCUUAUUA